CAGUCAGCAUGAAUUUCUUCGAUAGUUUCGGAUUUCCCUUUGUAUUUGUUCCUCUGUUCGUAUUAAUUUUGUGAUUGAGAUAGCACAGAUGACCCUGCGACACCUAGAUUGGGGAAAGAGUAGGCUUGCAUCUGACAUCGGCUUUGCUGUAAUGUAGUGAAGGUAAUCCUUCGGUAAGGUUUAACCUUGCGGCACGCUCCCAUUUUGUCAAGGCAGUGCACGUUGUGGUUGUAUAGGCUGGAGGACCUUGUCUUCUUCCCUUCUGUAAUUUAGAUAGUGUGUUUGCUUUUGCUUGUCAGGGUUGUGAAUAUAUUAUUAUCGCAAUAUAUUAGGGUCACCCUCUCCCGCUCUAUUUGAGCUUGGUUGGGCUGUAAUUGAUUUCUCGUGUUUAACUGAUGUAGCACAAUUAACUCUUGAUAUUUUGUUUCAACCUCGAGCUGAAUCAGAAUGGUGGUUUCUUGCUUGC
rnacentral:sRNA from 1 species